AGAACUUGCACCAGGAGGCAGCACAGAAUGCAGGAAACAACACUGGGGAAGAAUGAAUGCGGGGCUGACUGAACCUGCAACUGCUACGCAGAUUUCCCUUUGCUAAUGAAAUUCCAGGCAUUACCUGGGAAUUCAAGUUCAGCCCUGCAUUCUCCCUCUGGGCAAUUCUGGUAGAGACCAUGAGGCAACCCCUGGGAGGAGCAGUAGCCAUAACAGGAUCCCUCCACAGCAACCCCAGGGCUAAGACCAGUGGGUGCAAAACACCUUCUUUACCAGGUGACGCCAUCGCCUCAACUCCUGCAGUGGUCAAUAUGGUCAAUAUUAAGUUCACAAACAUGGGAACUUCCUGACAUCAUCACAGAAGGAAUGAAAAUGCAGUUGGGGUGGCUGGUACAUUUUAGAAUAAGGCUGGUUCUCCUGGGAGGAAAGAGGUUAUUAUUCUAUGUCUUCCAAUGGAAUAAAAAUUCUUGCUAAAG
rnacentral:lncRNA from 1 species